AAGCCAAUAAUGUAAAAAGUCAUAAAGUAAACAGUGAGUCAUGUGCAUGGUUUUUGGAUCAUCUAAAGCUUGACUUGGCGAUCAAUGAUGGAGCUCAUUGGACCUUCAUGUCAGACAUGCAAAAAGGUCUUAUAGAAGCUUAUAAGGAUAUAUUACCUUUUGUCGCUCAUAGAUUUUGUGUUAGGCACUUGCAUGGUAAUUUCAAAAGGGCCGGAUUUUAUGGUUAUACACUAAGAAAUGCACUUUGAAAUCUGCUAGUGCGACAACAGCAAGGUGGUUUAAUCAGCGCAUGGUUGAAAUAUUUGGUUUGGAUCCCGAAGCUUCUAUUUGGUUGAGAGAUAAGUCACCUAGUGAAUGGUCUAAAUCUCACUUCUCUGAAGAUGCAAAAUGUGAUACCUUAGUGAAUAACAUAGGUGUGUUUUUAUAGCAUGAUAUUGGAUGCAAGAGAUAAGCCUAUUAUCACUAUUCUGGAGAAAAUUCGGUAUAUGCUCAUGACAAGAAUGCAAGCAAUUAGGGAUAAAUCUGCCAAGUGGAGUUGUGAUGAUAUGUGCCCCGGAAUUAAAAAUGUAUUGUGCAAAAGUCAAGCUGUUGCUGCUGAAUAUAUUCCUAGAAAAUCAAAUGACCGGAACUAUGAGCUUAUAGGAGCUAGCAUAACUGUUAUUUGGGCCGUAGAUUUGUUAAAUCGAAAAUGUAGUUGUAGAAAAUGGAAUUUGACAGGGCUACCUUGUAAACAUGCUGUUCCAGCAAUUUGGGCUAAGAAUGAUGAAAUCAAUUCGUAUAUUGAUGAUUGUUAUAAGGUGGAAACUUAUAGAAGGAUCUAUGAAUUUGCUAUUCUUCCUAUAAAAGGUCAAAGUAUGUGGCCGCAGCAUGAGAAUAUUCCUCCGUUGCCUCCCAGAGUAGUAAGACAAAGUACUAAAGGGAGAAAACAAAAGAAGAGAAGAAAAGAAUCAGAUGAAGUGGGCAUGAGUAGGACAAAAGCGAAGAGGAAGCAAAAAUAUUAGGAUGCACUAGAUGCCACAAGCUUGGACAUAACUCAAAAACUUGCAAGCAUAAUUUGGUGCAGGCAGAGUCUCAAAAUGUGUCUCCGCUAUAUCAUGAAUCAUCUUCAUCAUGUGCUCCUACAAAACUGACCGUACUUUUUCUUUUAUCUAUUGCUUAUUUCACUUACUUUAUGAUAUUAAAUUUGUGUAAAUGCUUCCAUUUAUUCAUUAUACUUCAUAGGUUAGAAGAGUUGCAGAGAGUCAAGCUAAUUUCAACUCAACAAAAUGACGUGCUCUCGUGAUUGAUGUAGUUUGGCCACAUUUGACUUAUGUUUAGGGUAGCUUGGUGAUGAUUUCUGGUGCAGUUUGGCGCAAUUUCUAUGGUAGAAUUUGUGCAACAGUUUGGUGACAUUUUUGGAGUUGUUUUUGUGCAGUUUGGUGAGGUUUUUGGAGCUGUGUUUUGUGCAGUUUAGUGCUGAUUUUUGGUGGUUGGUGCUGCUGUCUGUGCAGCAGUUUGGUGACGUUUAUGGAGGUGUUUUCGUGCAGUUUGGUGCUGAUUUUUUGUUGUCUGAUGCAACAAUUUGGUGCUGAUUUUUUGGUGGUUCGAUGUUGCUGCCUAGUGAUGUGUUAUGUAUAGUUUGGUGCUGAUUAUGUAGUUUUCUGUUGUUUUUUGAGUGUUCCGGUGCUACAAUUCGAUCAGUUUGAAUGCUGCUAUUUUUUGUUGUAGUUUGAGCUAUUUUCUGCACAACAUUUUUCAAAACAGAGCACUAUAGUUCAUUUUA